UGGCGGCCGUAGCGCGGUGGUCCCACCUGACCCCAUGCCGAACUCAGAAGUGAAACGCCGUAGGCGCCGAUGGUAGUGUGGGGUCUCCCCAUGCGAGAGUAGGGAACUGCCAGGCA
rnacentral:rRNA from 1 species